GAUGAACGCUGGCGGCGUGCCUAAUACAUGCAAGUCGAGCGAACGGACGAGAAGCUUGCUUCUCUGAUGUUAGCGGCGGACGGGUGAGUAACACGUGGAUAACCUACCUAUAAGACUGGGAUAACUUCGGGAAACCGGAGCUAAUACCGGAUGAUAUUUUGAACCGCAUGGUUCAAAAGUGAAAGGCGGUCUUGCUGUCACUUAUAGAUGGAUCCGCGCUGCAUUAGCUAGUUGGUAAGGUAACGGCUUACCAAGGCAACGAUGCAUAGCCGACCUGAGAGGGUGAUCGGCCACACUGGAACUGAGACACGGUCCAGACUCCUACGGGAGGCAGCAGUAGGGAAUCUUCCGCAAUGGGCGAAAGCCUGACGGAGCAACGCCGCGUGAAUGAUGAAGGUCUUCGGAUCGUAAAACUCUGUUAUUAGGGAAGAACAUAUGUGUAAGUAACUGUGCACAUCUUGACGGUACCUAAUCAGAAAGCCACGGCUAACUACGUG
rnacentral:rRNA from 1 species